GGGCCGUAGUAGCUUAACUCGGGAAAGCACUUGCCUUGCAAGCAGGGGGAUGCGGGUUCGAGUCCCGCCCGGUCCA
rnacentral:tRNA from 1 species